AAGUCGGACCUUUGACCGACUUUGUCAAUAACUAGUUCAGUUUUGCUUUGAAUUUCGACGAGUACACAUCGCAGUUCUCACAGUACGUGUUCUCCGCAAGUAAUAACGAAGAGUUAAUGAAAGUACACACUUAUAUUAUUCAUUCUUUUAAUAUUCUAUGCGAAUUAUUUUAUUUUAGCAUUACUUUGCGAAGUAGGGAUAUUCGGCCUCGUGAGAUGACAACAAAGUCAGACCUUUGACCGACUUUGUCAAUAACUAGUUCAGUUUUGCUUUGAAUUUCGACGAGUACACAUCGCAGUUCUCACAGUACCUAUUCUCCGCAAAUAAUAACGGAGAGUUAAUGCAAGUAUAUACUUAUAUUACUCAUUCUUAUAAUAUUCUAUGCGAAUUAUUUUAUUUUAGAAUUAAAUUGCGAAGUGGGGAUACUCUCCCACCCGUGAUGACAACAAAAUCGGAACUCUGAUCGACUUUGACAGUUACUGGUUCAGUUGUGUUUUGUACUUCGACGAGUACACAUCGUAGUUCUUACAGGAGGCAUCCGGGACAAAUAAUAAUGAAGAGUUGAUAAAAUACAUGACUAUAUCGCAUAUUCUUUCAAUAUUCUUUGCGAAUUAUUUUAGUUUAAAAUUAAAUUACGGAAUGGGGAUACUCUCCCACCCGUGACGACAACAAAAUCGGAAUUCUGAUCGACUUUGACAGUUACUGAUUCAGUCUUGCUUUUUAUUUCGACGAGUACACAUCACCGUUCUCGCGAAUGAAAUGGUGUAGCGGGGAUAUUCCCCCACUCGUGACGACAAUAUAGUUGGACCGACUUUGACAGCUACUGGUUUAGUCUUGCCUUCCAUUUCGACUAGUACACAUCGCUGUUCUCCCAGUAUGCGUUCUCCGCAAGUAAUAGAGAAGGGGUAAUAUUCAAAUUGAGAGUAGGGAUACUUGGGCUCGUGAGACGACAACAAAGUGGGACCUUUGACCGACUAUUACAGUUACUAGUUCACUUGUGUUUUGAAUUUCGACGAGUACACAUCGCAGUUCUCCCAGUACCUAUUCUUCGCAUGUAAUAACAGAGAGUUAGUGCAAGUACAUAUUUAUAUUAUUCAUUCUUAUAAUAUUCUAUGCGAAUUAUUUUAUUUUAGAAUUAAAUUGCGAAGUGGGGAUACCCUCCCACCUGUGACAACAACAAAAUCGGAUCUUCGACCGACUUUGACAGUUACUGAUUCAGUCUUGCCUUCCAUUUCGACUAGUACACAUCGCAGUUCUCGCAGUAAACAUUCUCCGCAAGUAAUAGAGAAGAGCUAAUAAUGAAAUGGAAUAGUGGGGAUAUUCUCCCACUCUUGACGACAAUAUAAGCGACCAACAGUUACUGAUUCAGUCUUGCUUCGAAUUUCGACGAGUACGCAUCGUAGUUCUCCCAGUACCUAUUCUCCGCAUGUAAUAACAGAGAAAUUAAAUUGCGAAGUGGGGAUACCCUCCCACCUGUGACAACAACAAAAUCGGAUCUUCGACCGACUUUGACAGUUACUGAUUCAGUCUUGCCUUCCAUUUCGACUAGUACACAUCGCAGUUCUCGCAGUAAGCGUUCUCCGCAAGUAAUAGAGAAGAGCUAAUAAUGGAACGGAAUAGUGGGGAUAUUCUCCCACUCUUGACGACAAUAUAAGCGGACCAACAGUUACUGAUUCAGUCUUGCUUCGAAUUUCGACGAGUACGCAUCGUAGUUCUCCCAGUACCUAUUCUCCGCAUGUAAUAACAGAGAAAUUAAAUUGCGAAGUGGGGAUACCCUCCCACCUGUGACAACAACAAAAUCGGAUCUUCGACCGACUUUGACAGUUACUGAUUCAGUCUUGCCUUCCAUUUCGACUAGUACACAUCGCAGUUCUCGCAGUAAGCGUUCUCCGCAAGUAAUAGAGAAGAGCUAAUGAUGAAAUGGAAUAGUGGGGAUAUUCUCCCACUCUUGACGACAAUAUAAGCGACCAACAGUUACUGAUUCAGUCUUGCUUCGAAUUUCGACGAGUACGCAUCGUAGUUCUCCCAGUACCUAUUCUCCGCAUGUAAUAACAGAGAAAUUAAAUUGCGAAGUGGGGAUACCCUCCCACCUGUGACAACAACAAAAUCGGAUCUUCGACCGACUUUGACAGUUACUGAUUCAGUCUUGCCUUCCAUUUCGACUAGUACACAUCGCAGUUCUCGCAGUAAGCGUUCUCCGCAAGUAAUAGAGAAGAGCUAAUAAUGGAACGGAAUAGUGGGGAUAUUCUCCCACUCUUGACGACAAUAUAAGCGGACCAACAGUUACUGAUUCAGUCUUGCUUCGAAUUUCGACGACUACGCAUCGUAGUUCUCCCAGUACUUAUUCUCCGCAUGUAAUAACAGAGAAAUUAAAUUGCGAAGUGGGGAUACCCUCCCACCUGUGACAACAACAAAAUCGGAUCUUCGACCGACUUUGACAGUUACUGAUUCAGUCUUGCCUUCCAUUUCGACUAGUACACAUCGCAGUUCUCGCAGUAAGCGUUCUCCGCAAGUAAUAGAGAAGAGCUAAUGAUGAAAUGGAAUAGUGGGGAUAUUCUCCCACUCUUGACGACAAUAUAAGCGACCAACAGUUACUGAUUCAGUCUUGCUUCGAAUUUCGACGAGUACGCAUCGUAGUUCUCCCAGUACCUAUUCUCCGCAUGUAAUAACAGAGAAAUUAAAUUGCGAAGUGGGGAUACCCUCCCACCUGUGACAACAACAAAAUCGGAUCUUCGACCGACUUUGACAGUUACUGAUUCAGUCUUGCCUUCCAUUUCGACUAGUACACAUCGCAGUUCUCGCAGUAAGCGUUCUCCGCAAGUAAUAGAGAAGAGCUAAUAAUGGAACGGAAUAGUGGGGAUAUUCUCCCACUCUUGACGACAAUAUAAGCGGACCAACAGUUACUGAUUCAGUCUUGCUUCGAAUUUCGACGACUACGCAUCGUAGUUCUCCCAGUACUUAUUCUCCGCAUGUAAUAACAGAGAAAUUAAAUUGCGAAGUGGGGAUACCCUCCCACCUGUGACAACAACAAAAUCGGAUCUUCGACCGACUUUGACAGUUACUGAUUCAGUCUUGCCUUCCAUUUCGACUAGUACACAUCGCAGUUCUCGCAGUAAGCGUUCUCCGCAAGUAAUAGAGAAGAGCUAAUGAUGAAAUGGAAUAGUGGGGAUAUUCUCCCACUCUUGACGACAAUAUAAGCGACCAACAGUUACUGAUUCAGUCUUGCUUCGAAUUUCGACGAGUACGCAUCGUAGUUCUCCCAGUACCUAUUCUCCGCAUGUAAUAACAGAGAAAUUAAAUUGCGAAGUGGGGAUACCCUCCCACCUGUGACAACAACAAAAUCGGAUCUUCGACCGACUUUGACAGUUACUGAUUCAGUCUUGCCUUCCAUUUCGACUAGUACACAUCGCAGUUCUCGCAGUAAGCGUUCUCCGCAAGUAAUAGAGAAGAGCUAAUAAUGGAACGGAAUAGUGGGGAUAUUCUCCCACUCUUGACGACAAUAUAAGCGGACCAACAGUUACUGAUUCAGUCUUGCUUCGAAUUUCGACGACUACGCAUCGUAGUUCUCCCAGUACUUAUUCUCCGCAUGUAAUAACAGAGAAAUUAAAUUGCGAAGUGGGGAUACCCUCCCACCUGUGACAACAACAAAAUCGGAUCUUCGACCGACUUUGACAGUUACUGAUUCAGUCUUGCCUUCCAUUUCGACUAGUACACAUCGCAGUUCUCGCAGUAAGCGUUCUCCGCAAGUAAUAGAGAAGAGCUAAUAAUGGAACGGAAUAGUGGGGAUAUUCUCCCACUCUUGACGACAAUAUAAGCGGACCAACAGUUACUGAUUCAGUCUUGCUUCGAAUUUCGACGAGUACGCAUCGUAGUUCUCCCAGUACCUAUUCUCCGCAUGUAAUAACAGAGAAAUUAAAUUGCGAAGUGGGGAUACCCUCCCACCUGUGACAACAACAAAAUCGGAUCUUCGACCGACUUUGACAGUUACUGAUUCAGUCUUGCCUUCCAUUUCGACUAGUACACAUCGCAGUUCUCGCAGUAAGCGUUCUCCGCAAGUAAUAGAGAAGAGCUAAUGAUGAAAUGGAAUAGUGGGGAUAUUCUCCCACUCUUGACGACAAUAUAAGCGACCAACAGUUACUGAUUCAGUCUUGCUUCAAAUUUCGACGAGUACGCAUCGCAGUUCUCCCAGUAUGUGUUCUCCGCAAGUAAUAGAGAAGGGGUAAUAUUCAAAUUGAGAGUAGGGAUACUUGGCCUCGUGAGACGACAACAAAGUUGGACCUUUGACCGACUAUUACAGUUACUAGUUCAGUUGUGUUUUGGACUUCGACGAGAGAACUUAGAAAUUUUCGCUGAAUGCCGUUUCUACAAGUUUGAACGGAGACUUAAAAACCUCGUUGCAAUGUUGUAAUCGAGUGUUUGUACCGCUAAAAUAAAAAUAUCGUGAAGUAGAAGCAGUGUUUGUUCGUUCGCGGUUCGCGAUUUAAACUCUAAGUGUUUUUGCAUAGACUGCGUGCAAUGCAGUCUUUAGAGUCAGUGUUUGUUCGCGUAGUUUUUUGAUUUUUUAACAGUCGCGCAGACUGUACUUAUAAAAGAUAGUAGAGUUUCGCGAAAUAAAUUCAGUGAUCGUUCGUUAAUAAAUAACUACCGCGAAUUAGAGUCAGUGCAUCACCGAAGAGGAUCUCAACCAACUUCGAUGUCGACCUACCUCAUUUUCAACCAACUACAAAUCAUCCACCCUCAAUUUCGACCUAAAUCGCGGUCCAGUGUUUUGGAGCCAUCGCAGAACUUCUUAAGUAGUUAGAUCAUCGAGGGAGCGAUCAUCGAGCGAGGGAUCAUCCAGGGAUCGAUCAUCAUGGAAUUAAAUUUUUACAGAGAAAUUUUUGAAUUAAAUGUC